UCAGUAUUAUUUCAAGACUUCCACACACAACAGUUAUCUAUUAUUUAACCUAGUUCUCUAUCUGUAACUAUAAAAAAAUGCACCAGGUGUCAGAAUGGCAUGGAAUAACAGGAUGUUUUCAGGCACAUUCCUUCUCCUUGUCCCGGCGUUGGUGUCAACAAGUCUGCAAGUGCCACAAAUGCCGAGUCAUGAGUGUUACCACUGUAGAGGGGCUCUGACAUUGGACGAGUGUUCGAAAAAGGACUGCCAUCCCCCUGGGGCUUGCUAUAUGGAGGUAUAUCACGUAGGUGACAGUGAGAGAAUACAUGCCGAGUGCCUCCCCAGCCUGAAAUGCCUCUUGAAGGAAACGGGGACCCCAUUUGUUAUGUGGAAAGUACGUGGGUCAAGGACAUGUCAUGAUUGUUGCUUUGGAAAUCUCUGCAAUUAUCAUCUUUGUAGAUCCUCACAUGCGUGGUCAACGGUACCAACACCAAGGAAGACAACUUCGGCACGCCACAUCAUCGUAACCCAUGCACCACACAAAACCUUAGUACCCCACAUCCUACCCCAGAUCCAUGUUCCACAUUUACAUGCAGCAUCAAGUUCGACACACAAACCCCAUGUACAUGCAGCAUCAAGUUUGACACACAAACCCCAUGUACACGCAGCAUCAAGUUCGACACACAAAUCCCAUAUACAUGCAGCAUCAAGUUCGACACACAAACCCCAUGUACACGCAGCAUCAAGUUCGACACACAAACCCCAUGUACACGCAGCAUCAAGUUCGACACACAAAUCCCAUAUACAAGCAGCAUCAAGUUCGAUACCCCAUACACAUGCAGAUACAAGCUCGACACACAAUUCACAUAUACAUGCAUCAUUAGGUUCGACACACAAACCCCAUGUUUAUGCAGCAACAAGUUCGACACACAACGCCCAUAUACAUGCAGUAACAAUCUCGACAUACAAACCACACACUAAUGUAUUAACAAGUUCGACACAGAAGCUUCGUAAAUAAACAGCAACAAACUCGACACAUGCUUCCCAUAUGCAUGCCGUAACAAGUUCGACAUACAAACCUUAUGCAUCUCAUGCUGUAACACAUCAGACAUACGAACCUACUACACCCUUAUACAAAACAUUUAUAAGCACACAUGCAACAGACCCAUCUGAAUCCCAUACGGCCUCACUGUCACAACCAAGACCAGUUACAAGUUUCCAUACAAAAACAUGUGCUGUGUGCAAUGGGACGUUAUGUGGAGUUUUUCCUGAUAAGGAGGAGUCUAACGUCAUAUGUCCACGACAUUCUCCUUUUUGCAUGAACACUGUGGACAACGCAGUAUCGGGUACAAGGCGUAUAACCAAAAGGUGUGCCUCGCAACAUGCUUGCGAGAUGAAGUGGUGGAUCAGCUCCUCAGAUGUUGCAGAGUGCAUUAACUUCAGCCCUGGGCGGCGUUACGACUUCGCCUUCAUCUGUAACUACUGCUGCACGACAGAUCUGUGCAACAAGGACCUCUACCCAGCCAAACACACGCUCUAUGUUGGCAAAGAUUAGAACGGCGUGGGCUUAUAUGUUGUAUGUAGAAGUAUAUGGUUCUUUGUUGGAAU
rnacentral:misc_RNA from 1 species